rnacentral:rRNA from 1 species
AGAGUUUGAUUAUGGCUCAGGAUGAACGCUGGCGGCGUGCUUAACACAUGCAAGUCGAACGGAGAUAAGAGAAAGCUUGCUUUUCUUAUCUAGUGGCGGACGGGUGAGUAACGCGUGGGUAACCUACCCUGUACAGGGGGAUAGCAGUUGGAAACGACUGAUAAAACCGCAUAAAACGGCAGUACCGCAUGGUACAACCGUCAAAUAUUCAUAGGUACAGGAUGGGCCCGCGUCUGAUUAGCUAGUUGGUGGGGCAACGGCCUACCAAGGCGACGAUCAGUAGCCGGCCUGAGAGGGUGAACGGCCACAUUGGGACUGAGACACGGCCCAAACUCCUACGGGAGGCAGCAGUGGGGAAUAUUGGACAAUGGGGGAAUCCCUGAUCCAGCGAACCGCCGCGUGAGUGAAGAAGUAUUUCGGUAUGUAAAGCUCUAUCAGCAGGGAAGAUGAUGACGGUACCUGACUAAGAAGCACCGGCUAAAUACGUGCCAGCCGCAGC